rnacentral:rRNA from 1 species
UACGUAGGGGGCAAGCGUUGUCCGGAAUUAUUGGGCGUAAAGCGCGUGUAGGCGGUCCGGUAAGUCGGCUGUGAAAGUCCAGGGCUCAACCCUGGGAUGCCGGUCGAUACUGCCUGACUAGAGUUCGGAAGAGGCGAGUGGAAUUCCCGGUGUAGCGGUGAAAUGCGCAGAUAUCGGGAGGAACACCAAUGGCGAAGGCAGCUCGCUGGGACGUUACUGACGCUGAGACGCGAAAGCCAGGGGAGCAAACGGG